rnacentral:rRNA from 1 species
UACGAAGGGGGCUAGCGUUGUUCGGAAUUACUGGGCGUAAAGCGCGCGCAGGCGGUUUCUCAAGUCAGUGGUGAAAGCCCGGAGCUCAACUCCGGAACUGCCAUUGAAACUGUGAAACUUGAGGACGAGAGAGGUGAGUGGAAUUCCCAGUGUAGAGGUGAAAUUCGUAGAUAUUGGGAAGAACACCGGUGGCGAAGGCGGCUUCCUGGACCGACACUGACGCUGAGGCGCGAAAGCUAGGGGAGCAAACGGG